AAUAAGCUGUUGAGUGUGAUCUAUAUAUGCAAGUUUGCCUCUUUAAAAGAAGUGAUUGUGGAUUCUUUCUAGUAAAUAAUUUGAAUGGCAUCCCUCCUUCCCCUUUCUUCACAUCCCAAAAGUAGGUGAUGCAGAAGACCUAGGUGCUUGAACCUUUAACGUUGUGUAAUUUUCCAAAACAAUUGAUGGUCAAGAAUAACAAAAAAAGAAAAGACGCUAGUAUUAGACAUCCGUGCCGUGUUGAGAUAGCCUAUACGAAGUACGAGCCUUGAGCAUAUUUUUGGGAAUUAUCAAUCAAACCCUUUAAUCACUUUAGAGUUAAGUUUUAGUUUACUCAAAUCAUAACCCAACUUCUAUUUACUUUUCGAAUUAAAUUAGAAAUUGAUUUGAAGUACCGUAACUUAGCUUUUUACUUCCCAUGAAUGAUCUCGGUCUUAAUCAAUAUUCUACGAAGUAGUAGUUAACUCCUAGCUUUAUAAACUAUAAUUUUUUGUGUAGAAACGAUUAACCAAGUUUGGGUGACUUAGAUGAGCAAUGUGUGAUCGGUCAAGCUUUCGUUCUAGAUCCUCCAGUAAGCCAAGAAUAUUUUUUUGAGAAUAAAUUGCCCUUAACCUGAUCUCCACAGCAAUGCUUGUCUUUCCUUCGUAUAACCAUCCCCCAUCCCACCUUUUUCCAUUGGACAGAGAAGCUGCGCGCCUAUUUAUCUCCUCUAUUGGCAUUUUUUACCUUGGCGUGCAUGUGUCAUGCUUCAAAGUCUCUCGUUCAUCAGUUUAAGACACAAACCUUAUGCUGAAUUGCCAAGAUAGGCUUCACAUGUGAGGAUUUCCUUUGUGAAGAUACCCGCGUGAAUGUGGUACCCUUGAAUCUCUUGAAGGAACUUCAUCUAUUGAGGCUGAAGAUCGUCAAGAGAUCGAUGAUUGAUAUGGCAUUGCACAAGUACUUUGAAAAGGAUCGAUAUCUUACCAGAGGUGAUGUUUUCUGUCUCCACGACAUCAAUUGGAGUUGCAAGUCUUUGUUUCUUGCAGCCGAAAGAUGCAAAUAGGCAGUGAUGACAUAAUCUACUUCAAGGUCAUGGCUAUGGAGCCAUCUGAUGAACCCAUUCUUAGAGUCAAUCGGACCAAAACAGCACUUGUUCUUGGAGGGAGUGUUCCUUCUGCUGUUCCUCCGGAUCUGUUAAUAUCUAGAUCAAAAGGUUCUGUGCCUUUACAGGGGGAUACCGUUGAGAAUUUGGCCUCCAUUCUCACGUACGCCACCUCUAUGUCUAUCCUCACUCUCAUCAAAAGUUCAGAGUUUCUGUCCUGUUGCAUGCAUGGUUUGCCUGCAGAUUGGGCCUUCAUGUAAUGGAAUGUAGUUGCCAUACUCUGAUGGCAUAUCCUCCGAAAGAAAGAAAUCUACCGCAUUAGCAGAAAGAAGCUUUCAGAACAGCUCGCAAGUACAUCUUCUCUACCUUUUCUCUUCCCCUCGCCCCCAUCUCCUGCCGCGCUGUAGGGUUUUCAAGCAAAAAUUGAAGAUUCUGAGCAAGAACUUGAUUGCCCUCGCGCCCCAGGGGAUGUAGGAGACCCGUUUUGUUAUGUUCAACAAUAUCUUUUGUGCCCCCAGCA